AACCUUCUGGGUGGAUUAGUGGCGAACGGAUGAGUAACACGUGGGCAAUCUGCCCUUCACUCUGGGACAAGCCCUGGAAACGGGGUCUAAUACCGGAUAACACUUCCUACGGCAUGGCGCGGGGUGGAAAGCUCCGGCGGUGAAGGAUGAGCCCGCGGCCUAUCAUCUUGUUGGUGGGGUAAUGGCCUACCAAGGCGACAACAGGUAGCCGGCCUGAGAGGGCGACCGGCCACACUGGGACUGAGACACGGCCCAGACUCCUACGGGAGGCGGCAGUGGGGAAUAUUGCACAAUGGGCGAAAGCCUGAUGCACCGACGCCCCGUGAGGGAUGACGGCCUUCGGGUUGUAAACCUCUUUCAGCAGGGAAGAAGCGAGAGUGACGGUACCUGCAGAAGAAGCGCCGGCUAACUACRUGCCAGCAGCCGCGGUAAUACGUAKGGCGCAAGCGUUGUCCGGAAUUAUUGGGCGUAAAGAGCUCGUAGGCGGCUUGUCACGUCSGGUGUGAAAGCCCGGGGCUUAACCCCGGGUCUGCAUCCGAUACRGGCAGGCUAGAGUGUGGUAGGGGAGAUCGGAAUUCCUGGUGUAKCKGUGAAAUGCGCARAUAUCAGGAGGAACWCCGGUGGMGAAGGMGGAUCUCUGGGCCAUUACUGACGCUGAGGAGCGAAAGCGUGGGGAGCGAACAGGAUUAGAUACCCUGGUAGUCCACGCSGUAWACGUUGGGAAMUAGRUGUUGRCGACAUUCCACGUCGUCGGUGCCGCAGCUAACGCAUUAAGUUCCCCGCCUGGGAGUMCGGCCGCAAGGCUAAAAMUCAMAGGAAUUGACGGGRGCCCGCACAAGCAGCGGAGCAUGUGGCUUAAUUCGACGCAACGCGAAGAACCUUAMCAASGCUYSACAUAUACCGSAAAGCAUUAGAGAUAGUGCCCCCCUUGUGGUCCGUUAUACAGGUGGUGCAUGGCUGUCGUCAGCUCGUGUCGUGAGAUGUUCGGUUAAGUCCCGCAACGAGCGCAACCCUUGUCCCAACCUUCCAGCUUGCCCUUCGGGGUGAUGGGGGGUCACAGGAGACAGCCGGGGUCAACUAGGAGGAAGGAGGGGAGGAAGUCAAGUCAUCAUUCCCGGCCUUUCUUGGGCGGCACACACGCUUCAAUCACCGGUACAAAGAGAGGGGAUGCCACGAGGGGGAGGGAAUCUCUAAAAGCCGGUCUCAGUUAGUAUGGGGGUCAGCAACUAGACCCCAUGAAGUAGGUGGUAAUAGUAAUCGCAGAUGAACAUUAAUGCGGUGAAGACGUUCCCGGCCGUUGUACACCCCGCCCGUCAUGUCACGAAAGUCGGUAACACCCGAAGCCGGUGGCCCAACCCCUUAGGGAGGAGCUUCGCAGG
rnacentral:rRNA from 1 species